rnacentral:lncRNA from 1 species
AGGCUAUGUUCAAUUAAUCAAAGCAUUCCACUGGACGCAUUUGAGAGCCAGAACAACAAAAAAGGAUCAUUUUUGACAGUUCGAGUUAUUAUGUAUAUACCACUGGAAGAGGAGGAAUCGCUGCUUGAGCUGCUAGAACUACUGGAGCUACUACUAGCAUUAUUAUCAGGAUCCCGCCCACCACCACCACCUUCAUCCUUGUCAAUUUCCACAGGGGGAAAUUGUGUAGCUGGUUCAUCAUCCUCUAUCUCUACAUCAUCCUCAUCUCCAGCAUCACCCCCCUUUUUGGGCUUUUUGAAAGAGUCAUUUUUCUCGCUUGUACUAGGCUGCAACAAACAACAACUAAUUUUAUUAGCCAUUCCAUUAGCAAUCUGAUAAAUGCAACAAGGGACAUCAUAUGUAUCAAAUCAAAAGAAUUAACAAAAAUGCAGUACUGCAUUAUUACCCCAUCAGCCUCUGCAACAGAUGUUGUAGCAGCAGAAGCUGCAGCACUGGCGGAUGGUGGCUGUCCCAAAUUGUUAAUCAAUGCCUGCCUCUUAGUUUUGCUCACCAUCUUCUUCCAAUUGGUCACAAACCGAUCAAGCUCCCAUAGAGUCUCUGUGUCAAGGGCCUCAAUGUCAAGCUCGAUCUCAUCCCCAUCCUGGGCUAAAUGCUCAUUCCUCUUCCUUAUAAUCUGCACUAACUGCGGCAUCUUCUCUUGCGGUAAACUUUGCAGCCCAACUCCUAAUUUAUGCUUCUCUUCCAUACUCAUCUCUCUUUUAUUCGGAUCCUUAGCUCUCGGCUUUGGCUGCUUUUCCAUAGGAGGCACUUUAGCAGCAACUGAUGAUUGAGGCUUUGCCGCUGGUGGUGCCCUCACUGGGGAAGGAGUUGACAACGGGGACUGCUGCUGCACCACUGGUGGAUUGUCUGGUGGCUGCUGCACAGGCAAAGAGGGAGUUGAAGCACUCGAAUGAUUCUGCAUCAUUCGCUCCUGCUUCUUUGAAAUGUGAGGGGCCGGAGUAGGCUUGGGCUUCUUCACUCUCUCCGGCGUAGGAAUGUGAUUCCAAGAACUCCCCUGCAACUCAUCUAUGGCAUGAAAAUCCCUCCUGCCACUUCCGCCAUCAAGCUUAUUCAAUUUAUCCUGAAACGGUCUAAACAUGUCCUCAAAACGUGUCAGGAGUAGCUCGGCAAACACAUGAACUUGAUCUGUUUUAGGGUUAUACAAAAGGGCAUUAUUGAAAGUAAGCCUCACAUCAGCUGCGAAUUCAAAAGGGGUAGGGUAAAGAUUAUUAGACAAAUUGGAUUUCACCGUCCCCAAAUCCAUGGGUCUCUUAAUAAUCUGGUGGUAAUCAUGAAGACCCAAGGCUUCAGCAUCUACAGGGGUAUUGAAAAUCCACCCACUUUUGUGCUUCAUCAGCUUUCCCAAAACUUGCCUACAUUCCUUCAUCAUAUUUUCCAUUCCGAUUAUGCCCUUAACACCACCACCACCCGGAUUACCGAAAUUUCUAUUAUCAACUCCAUUGGGGAGCUUUUUCGGAUCUUUACUGGAUCCGGAAGGGGUGGGCCGUUUAUUUCCGGAUAAUUUCUUGGACUUGCCGUGAGAUCUGGGGUUGCUGGUGCUCAAUUGACCCGAUUCAAUUCGAUCUUUGAGGUUUCGGAUCUGUUCCAGCUCCGCCACCAGCCGACUCCGUAGAUCAUGGAGCUCGGUUUUGCUGUACGAGGCAACGUUGUAGGUCAUAUAUCCUCCAAGAUUGAGGCCGUCAACGUUGGCACUUGAUUCGAUCGGCCGUUGAUUAAACGAAUAGGCAUCAUCUGACGCGGUUUGCGUCACGGCCGGCAAUUCAUCGUUGUGACAACCGUUAGAUGCGUGAUGGAAUUGCUUCUGCUUUUUCUUAGGGUUAGGGUUAGAGUUAGGGUUCAGAUGUGUGUGAGAAUAAGGGGUUUUCCCCAUGAAUCCACCGCCGGCACCACCAGACUGAGCCCAGCUAGAUUCAUUCCGGCUAGCUAAGACGGCGGAUGCCAUGAAUUGCACCGGCACAGGUGGAAUUGAUCGUUAUCAGAUGGUGUUGAAAUCAUGAAUUGAAAGGGACGUGAUAGCCACGCGCCCGCUGGAAUCCAACAAAGUACCUCCGAUUACAACCUCCCGACGACGAUAAAACAAAAAGGAGAAAAAAAUCUUUAAAAUAUGGGAACCCAAUUGGAAGGCAAGGGUUUGAAG